UACACGACCGUACCGCAAACCGACACUGGUGCGCGAGAUGAGUAUUCUAAGGCGCUUGAGAGAACUCAGGAGAAGGAACUCGGCAAAUUGACACCGUAACUUCGGAAGAAGGUGUGCCUUUAGUAGGUGAAGUCCCUCGCGGAUGGAGCCCAAUGAGGUUGCAAAAAAUCGGUGGCUGCGACUGUUUAUUAAAAACACAGCACUCUGCAAACACGAAAGUGGACGUAUAGGGUGUGACGCCUGCCCGGUGCUGGAAGAUUAAAUGAUGGGGUGCAAGCUCUUGAUUGAAGUCCCAGUAAACGGCGGCCGUAACUAUAACGGUCCUAAGGUAGCGAAAUUCCUUGUCGGGUAAGUUCCGACCUGCACGAAUGGCGUAACGAUGGCCACACUGUCUCCUCCUGAGACUCAGCGAAGUUGAAAUGUUUGUGAUGAUGCAAUCUCCCCGCGGAAAGACGGAAAGACCCCAUGAACCUUUACUGUAGCUUUGUAUUGGACUUUGAACAGAUCUGUGUAGGAUAGGUGGGAGGCUUUGAAGCAGGGUCGCUAGAUCUUGUGGAGCCAACGUUGAAAUACCACCCUGGUGUGUUUGAGGUUCUAACCUAGGCCCGUAAUCCGGGUUGGGGACAGUGCAUGGUAGGCAGUUUGACUGGGGCGGUCUCCUCCCAAAGUGUAACGGAGGAGUUCGAAGGUACGCUAGUUACGGUCGGACAUCGUGACGAUAGUGCAAUGGCAUAAGCGUGCUUAACUGCGAGACUGACAAGUCGAGCAGAUGCGAAAGCAGGACAUAGUGAUCCGGUGGUUCUGUAUGGAAGGGCCAUCGCUCAACGGAUAAAAGGUACUCUGGGGAUAACAGGCUGAUACCGCCCAAGAGUUCAUAUCGACGGCGGUGUUUGGCACCUCGAUGUCGGCUCAUCUCAUCCUGGGGCUGUAGCCGGUCCCAAGGGUAUGGCUGUUCGCCAUUUAAAGAGGUACGUGAGCUGGGCUUAAAACGUCGUGAGACAGUUUGGUCCCUAUCUUCCGUGGGCGCUGCAGAUUUGAGGAAGCCUGCUCCUAGUACGAGAGGACCGGAGUGGACGCACCUCUGGUGUAUCGGUUGUCACGCCAGUGGCAUUGCCGAGUAGCUAUGUGCGGAAGAGAUAACCGCUGAAAGCAUCUAAGCGGGAAACUCGUUUCAAGAUGAGAUCUGCCGGGGCCUUGAGCCCCCUGAAGAGUCGUUCAAGACCAGGACGUUGAUAGGUCGGGUGUGGAAGCGCAGUAAUGCGUUAAGCUAACCGAUACUAAUUGCUCGUGCGGCUUGACCCU
rnacentral:rRNA from 1 species